AAUAGUUGUCCGUUUAUUUAGCAAAUAAAUAAACAACUUGUACUGCCAUGUAGCGAUUUCGAUAGACGACGCCUUCAAGGGAGGAGGAGUCUACAACAUAUUGAAUUUAUCGAUCGAUUGUUAGGCCGAUUUCGAUCAGCAUUGUAUAGUUAAUGAAUGACAACUUGACGAGAUCUUGACACGCACGUUGGAAGUGUACGCGUGUUUGCACCUCGAUGAGCGUUGCACAAUAACAAAGCUCCGUUGGUGAGCGUAUUGAUUAAUAAAGCUAGGUGAAGGUGUUUUGUUUUAGCAGUAUUUUUUCCUUCAACAAUUAAUCUUGCAUCUCCAACCGUGGAAUGAGUUACAUGUGACUCGAGACAAACAAACAGUGCAAUUGCAACAAUAUAAUUAGUCAGCGAUAUAAAUUUGCCAUAUCUUCAUGCCAACCACAAGGAUUCUGCUUUUGCAUACACCUUCAUUAUUAAUGUGUUUCUUCAGGUAUGGUCACUAUCA